rnacentral:rRNA from 1 species
AGCGAACGCUGGCGGCAGGCCUAACACAUGCAAGUCGAACGAACUCUUCGGAGUUAGUGGCGGACGGGUGAGUAACACGUGGGAACGUGCCUUUAGGUUCGGAAUACCUCAGGGAAACCUGCGCUAAUACCGAAUGUGCCCUUCGGGGGAAAGAUUUAUCGCCUUUAGAGCGGCCCGCGUCUGAUUAGCUAGUUGGUGAGGUAAAGGCUCACCAAGGCGACGAUCAGUAGCUGGUCUGAGAGGAUGAUCAGCCACAUUGGGACUGAGACACGGCCCAAACUCCUACGGGAGGCAGCAGUGGGGAAUCUUGCGCAAUGGGCGAAAGCCUGACGCAGCCAUGCCGCGUGAAUGAUGAAGGUCUUAGGAUUGUAAAAUUCUUUCACCGGGGACGAUAAUGACGGUACCCGGAGAAGAAGCCCCGGCUAACUUCGUG